rnacentral:rRNA from 1 species
UUCGCCCUUAGAGUUUGAUCCUGGCUCAGGACGAACUCUGGCGGCGUGCCUAACACAUGCAAGUCGAACGGACGAGGAGGAGCUUGCUUCUCCAAGUCAGUGGCGGACGGGUGAGUAACGCGUGAGUAACCUGCCCUUCAGAGGGGGAUAACGUCUGGAAACGGACGCUAAUACCGCAUGACAUAUUUCCAUCGCAUGGUGGAGAUAUCAAAGGAGCAAUCCGCUGAAGGAUGGACUCGCGUCCGAUUAGAUAGUUGGCGGGGUAACGGCCCACCAAGUCGACGAUCGGUAGCCGGACUGAGAGGUUGAACGGCCACAUUGGGACUGAGACACGGCCCAGACUCCUACGGGAGGCAGCAGUGGGGGAUAUUGCACAAUGGGCGAAAGCCUGAUGCAGCAACGCCGCGUGAGGGAAGACGGUUUUCGGAUUGUAAACCUCUGUUCUAAGUGACGAACAAAUGACGGUAGCUUAGGAGAAAGCCCCGGCUAACUACGUGCCAGCAGCCGCGGUAAUACGUAGGGGGCAAGCGUUGUCCGGAAUUACUGGGUGUAAAGGGAGCGCAGGCGGGAAGACAAGUUGGAAGUGAAAUCUAUGGGCUCAACCCAUAAACUGCUUUCAAAACUGUUUUUCUUGAGUAGUGCAGAGGUAGGCGGAAUUCCCGGUGUAGCGGUGGAAUGCGUAGAUAUCGGGAGGAACACCAGUGGCGAAGGCGGCCUACUGGGCACCAACUGACGCUGAGGCUCGAAAGUGUGGGUAGCAAACAGGAUUAGAUACCCUGGUAGUCCACACCGUAAACGAUGAUUACCAGGUGUUGGAGGAUUGACCCCUUCAGUGCCGCAGUUAACACAAUAAGUAAUCCACCUGGGGAGUACGACCGCAAGGUUGAAACUCAAAGGAAUUGACGGGGGCCCGCACAAGCAGUGGAGUAUGUGGUUUAAUUCGACGCAACGCGAAGAACCUUACCAAGUCUUGACAUCCCUUGACAGACAUAGAAAUAUGUUUUCUCUUCGGAGCAAGGAGACAGGUGGUGCAUGGUUGUCGUCAGCUCGUGUCGUGAGAUGUUGGGUUAAGUCCCGCAACGAGCGCAACCCUUAUGGUCAGUUACUACGCAAGAGGACUCUGGCCAGACUGCCGUUGACAAAACGGAGGAAGGUGGGGAUGACGUCAAAUCAUCAUGCCCUUUAUGACUUGGGCUACACACGUACUACAAUGGCGUUAAACAAAGAGAAGCAAGACCGCGAGGUGGAGCAAAACUCAGAAACAACGUCCCAGUUCGGACUGCAGGCUGCAACUCGCCUGCACGAAGUCGGAAUUGCUAGUAAUCGUGGAUCAGCAUGCCACGGUGAAUACGUUCCCGGGCCUUGUACACACCGCCCGUCA